rnacentral:misc_RNA from 1 species
UUUCCGUAGGUGAACCUGCGGAAGGAUCAUUAAUGAGUUGUCAUGGGGUUCGAUGCUGGCAGCCAGUUUUUGGAUGCAUGUGCUUGCCCUAACAAUCAUCAUCUUCCAAACACCUGUGCACAUUUUUGAGGGAGUCUUGAGUUGGUUGCCGCUCUUGGGUGAUUUUCUCACAUUCCCUUAAAUCAUUAUACGCUAUUAACAAUGUUGAACGUGCUCUGUGCCGCAAGGCCAUUAAUAUAAUACAACUUUUAACAACGGAUCUCUUGGCUCUC